UCGAGGGGUACAGGGAGCUUGCUCUGCUGACGACCGGCGCACGGGUGCGUAACGCGUAUACAAUCUACCUAUCACUGAGGGAUAGCCCGAAGAAAUUUGGAUUAACACCUCAUAGUAUUAUAGAGCCGCAUGGUUUUAUAAUUAAAGGUUACGGUGAUAGAUGAGUAUGCGUCCUAUUAGCUAGAUGGAGAGGUAACGGCUCCCCAUGGCUACGAUAGGUAGGGGUCCUGAGAGGGAGAUCCCCCACACUGGUACUGAGACACGGACCAGACUCCUACGGGAGGCAGCAGUGAGGAAUAUUGGACAAUGGAGGAAACUCUGAUCCAGCCAUGCCGCGUGCAGGAAGACGGCCCUAUGGGUUGUAAACUGCUUUUGUACGGGAAGAAACCUACCCUCGUGAGGGUAGCUGACGGUACCGUAAGAAUAAGCACCGGCUAACUCCGUGCCAGCAGCCGCGGUAAUACGGAGGGUGCAAGCGUUAUCCGGAAUCAUUGGGUUUAAAGGGUCCGUAGGCGGGCUGAUAAGUCAGUGGUGAAAUGCAGGGGCUCAACUCCGGCACUGCCAUUGAUACUGUUAGUCUUGAAUUAUUGUGAAGUGGUUAGAAUAUGUAGUGUAGCGGUGAAAUGCUUAGAUAUUACAUAGAAUACCGAUUGCGAAGGCAGAUCACUAACAAUAUAUUGACGCUGAUGGACGAAAGCGUGGGUAGCGAACAGGAUUAGAUACCCUGGUAGUCCACGCCGUA
rnacentral:rRNA from 1 species